AUCUUCUUAGCUCGGCCUGAUCUGUGGACGUGGCAGCCGGCCUGGAGAGGAUGAGUUCCACGGAGGUUCAUUUCUUUUUCUAUGCUAGAUUCAUUUUUAACAAUGAUGGUAGUAAUGAGUUAAGGGCGAUGAUGAGUUUUACAUUUAAUUUUUGGUUUCUGGAUACAAACAAAUGAUUGUCGCCACUGAAGCCACAUGGUCGGCAUUGAGGACUGUUUACAGCCUUAGGGGAGGCGUUUCACUGCAGAUGGCGUCCCAUUUUCCCCAGCGGCGCAUUUGGCGGUUUCUUCCUCCGCUAAGUGGCGCUAAAGACUCGGUCCGCCAUUGGCAUCACGUGACCUCAACAUACCGCCUUGGAAACCCCUCGUUUCUCUUUCGGCCACUUCACCGGCAAGACCCCGGUCACCCCUCAAGCAACGCACGCGUGCAACGCGCGGGGUUUCCAUGUCCGAAGGCGCGGCGCGCGCUGCCGUCGUGGAUGGCGAAGAAGGGCGCGAGAGCGAAGGAGGAGGAGCCGCUGAAGAGCGCGAGGAAGCGGAAAACUGCCCGGGCUGCUUUCUACUGCAUGAACGAGAAGGAGCUGGUGGAGGCGGCGCUCUCGCGUCUCACCGACGCCGCCCGCGAGGAUGUCGCUCUCCCCGCUGACCGCAAGGUUGAAGACAAGGCAGCAGCCACCACUGUGAACACGGGCGAGGACCCGGCCACUGCAGAGAAGACGGCAGAGCUUUUGACAUCAGCGGAGCAGUCUUCAGACGGCGGUGAUGCCCUGGAUACAACGUGUGUUUCAGAAACAGACGUGGAGAUCAGCCCGCGGCAUCUGGGCCCUGAGGGUCAGAGGGCAGGACCUGCACGGGAUCAUGGCGGUCUGGUGAAUAUCGGACUGAAGGCUGAGGGAAAAGAGAAGGAUGAUGCCUUGCGGCUUGUGAGGGAAAUAUUUUUCACCUGAUGAUGAUGAACUCCAGCAUACGCCAUCUAGAACCACAUUUUGGUGCGGCAUUGCACAUCUUAGUCUGGAGUUCAGUGUUAAAGGAGCUGCUGUGUAUUUCAUACAGCUGACAUGAGUGAAUGGAACUCCCAUUAACACAAAUAACGUGGUAUUUUGUGAACAGAAAUGUUUUGCUGAAAGCUUUGACCAGAAAGCCGGAACAUGAGUGACGUAUAGAUGUGUAGUAGUACUUUUUAAAUUAUAAUGUGAAACCUAAAGCAAGUGGGUUUUAGGUAAAGAGAUCUUUCCACCACAAGUUUUUUCAGCUUUGAUGAAUUAUGAAGUGGCCGUGGCUGCACUGUCCUUUAUUUCCAUUAUCUUAAGCAACUUUGUACAAACGUUGAAAACUGGAAAGCCUUAAAUACCUUUGCCCGUGUUCUGGACUCUGAGAUGAGCUUCUCCGGAUAAGUGUUCAUUGUCAAGACUUUGUCUUCUUCAAACAGUGUGCACGGUUACCGUUGAGUAAAUCCUCACCUCGCCUAUGGUCGUCCAAGAUUAAACUCUUAAUUGUUUAAAAGCUAAAUAUCGGGAAAACUCCAAAAGCCGGUUUGAGCUCUGCGAGGUGCUUUAGAGUCGUCAACAAAAUCAUUUGUUAAGGAAGUAUUUCAUCCCAAGUUGUCGACAUUAAAGAUUUGUUGUAUUGUGUUCUACCACCAUUGCAUUAAAGCAAACCAUAUUACUCCAACAUUUGUUUUUAUUUUUGCAAGAUAUUUAAGCACGGAAUUACAGCAGGACACAUAAGCAGCGCAGUAUGCUCCAGUCUAUUGCACCAAAGAAGGGUUUAUCAUGAAAUAUAUUAUUGCUUUUCAGCAGCAUAUGCCUCAAGGAAUACAAUAAAAGAACCAAAAAAACAAAGUACUUUUAUUCUAAUGGUGAAGAGCAUCAACUAAACUAUAGUCCAUAGUCAAGCACUUUGGCUUCCUGAAUAAAGUUUAACCAGGUGGACUUCCCAUUCGAUCUACUCCCAUUCAGACGUCAGCCUCUUCCCGGACUUGCAAGUCAGCACAGUCGUGGCAAGCAGCUCCACUGGCACAAGCACACAUAAGUAGAACCAGACGGUCAUGUUUUCCCAGUUCACGUACGUCUGAUAGAGGGCCACAAAACUCAGAACCCCAGUCAGGACGAGCAGGCUUGACGCAGCCUGGCAGGCCGCGCUGAACCAGACCGCUGCUCUGUCUCUGCUGUAAGCUGCCAGCAGCAUGGCCAGAAGGGCAAAGGCCACGAGCACCACGGGGAUGUACAAACACAGGAGAACCGCGGUUGCCAGGAGGUUCGUUUUCAUCUCCGAUUCAUCUCCGCCGAUGGGUUCCCUGGACGAGCAGGAUGGCUCGCCAUGUUGACGCGUAGGACAAAAUUGAAAGGGACUGAUGAGGACCUCUUUGGAGACGAUGAACACACCAGCAAAGAGAACCAGGGAGGUCAACAUCUUAGUGAGGAUGAGCAG
ensembl:lncRNA